rnacentral:rRNA from 1 species
GACGAACGCUGGCGGCGUGCUUAACACAUGCAAGUCGAACGGAAAGGCCCUGCUUUUGUGGGGUGCUCGAGUGGCGAACGGGUGAGUAACACGUGAGUAACCUGCCCUUGACUUUGGGAUAACUUCAGGAAACUGGGGCUAAUACCGGAUAGGAGCUCCUGCUGCAUGGUGGGGGUUGGAAAGUUUCGGCGGUUGGGGAUGGACUCGCGACUUAUCAGCUUGUUGGUGGGGUAGUGGCUUACCAAGGCUUUGACGGGUAGCCGGCCUGAGAGGGUGACCGGCCACAUUGGGACUGAGAUACGGCCCAGACUCCUACGGGAGGCAGCAGUGGGGAAUAUUGCACAAUGGGCGGAAGCCUGAUGCAGCAACGCCGCGUGCGGGAUGACGGCCUUCGGGUUGUAAACCGCUUUCGCCUGUGACGAAGCGUGAGUGACGGUAAUGGGUAAAGAAGCGCCGGCUAACUACGUG